rnacentral:rRNA from 1 species
GACGAACGCUGGCGGCGUGCUUAACACAUGCAAGUCGAACGGAAAGGCCCUGCUUUUGUGGGGUGCUCGAGUGGCGAACGGGUGAGUAACACGUGAGUAACCUGCCCUUUACUUUGGGAUAACUUCAGGAAACUGGGGCUAAUACCGGAUAUGAGCUCCUGCUGCAUGGUGUGGGUUGGAAAGUUUCGGCGGUUGGGGAUGGACUCGCGGCUUAUCAGCUUGUUGGUGGGGUAGUGGCUUACCAAGGCUUUGACGGGUAGCCGGCCUGAGAGGGUGACCGGCCACAUUGGGACUGAGAUACGGCCCAGACUCCUACGGGAGGCAGCAGUGGGGAAUAUUGCACAAUGGGCGGAAGCCUGAUGCAGCAACGCCGCGUGCGGGAUGACGGCCUUCGGGUUGUAAACCGCCUUCGCCUGUGACGAAGCGUGAGUGACGGUAAUGGGUAAAGAAGCACCGGCUAACUACGUG